GAGGAGCCAAGGAGAUCAGAAACCAGACCAGCCUCAGCUCUUCUAAAACUCCAGGUAGACAGUGUCCGACAUGAGCUGCUACCAGGAAAGGUUUUCCUCGGAGGAUGACUACUGCACCUACGCGUCGAAAAUGGAGAAGAAGACAGACAUGACUAAAGGGCCUCACUUCCCUCAGCUUCACACUGUGAUCAAGCACAAGGAGGUCCAUAUGGAAGAGGACGAGUCACGCCCUGGAAUCUUUGGCCGGCCGAGGCACGAGGAGUGGUCUGAAGAGGAGACCUAUGAAAUGUCUGAGACCACCUACGCAGGCGACAUGGGCAUGAAAGGGGGAGAGCGCAUCAGGCGCAAGGUGUAUAUAUGAGACUAUCAUCUAUAUAUAGUUCUGUGGUGAUGGAUGCCAUGGCUUGGCAUCUUUAUAUAUAGAAUAAAUCUCGGGCUUAUCUGCUGUAUAUCCAUAUGAAUAAUACUAUACUUCUCUAGUACUCAAGCUAUAGCUCUAUACUUUAGCCUACUACAUUCACUCUUGAUAUCUUUAGUACGCGCGUGUUUUCAGGUAAAUUUUUUGAGAAUACUACCCAACUCUUUCCCCCUUCAUUUUGAUAAUAUAAUCGGGAAAGAAGUAGGCUAGUCUCCGCUUUGAAUCCUAAAUAUAUUGGUGCAAGAUCGACCGAUGGCAUUCUAAAAUGUUGAUCCAAGCCACUGAUAAUGAUAUAUAUAACAUGUAAGACAUCCGCAAGAAUCAAGUAUUUUGUAAGUUAUCUAUCUAUUAUGCAUCAAGGGGAUGCAAAUGGACGGCAUGAGUAGUGCUAAUGUGUUAAAAUGCAUGAUAGGGUGUGAGAAAAAUUUUGAAUCCAGUCCAUCGAUUAUGAUCGCUCCAUAGAAAGCAUAUGUCAAAUAAAGUUCAAUAUGUUUGAGCACUUCUAAGUCAUAUGUAAACAUGAACUAGAUCGAACAACAUGUAUGAUGAAACCUUUUUGUUUUUGAAGAUUGUUUAUAAAAGGUUUUUGAGCUUUUGGAAGCAAAGUUUAUAGCUUUCAUAAAAAGAGUGAAAAUAAAAUCAAGGAAUAGUAAAAGUUUUGUGCAGAUGCUACCUCGGACAUCAAUCUGCAUGUAGGAAUAGCCAAAUAGGACCUGCAACUCUGUUUCCUAGGGGAAAAAAAAAAAAGCUGAGAUUUUAGGGACGGUUGCAAAAUGUUGCAGUUCCCGUUUUCUUCAGAUUUUCUAAAGCUGGAACUUUCUCGGUUUUGUUACUUCAAGUUCCUUUCUGAGAACUCAGAAAUUCUAACAUAUUUCUGUAGCAAUUUCCGAAGCUGUUUUAAUGAAGCUGUAACUACUACCUAUCAUUAUGGUUUUUAACUUACAGGCUUGAAGCAUAACGCGCUCCCAGUUGCACCCCUAUUUUAAGUGUCUUUGGAGCAUUUUUCAAGACAAAACGAGAACAUAGGAUAAUUUUUGGCCCAGAUCUUGCCACAUAUCGCCGCAAGUGUUGGCUGAUUCUCCUUCUUGAUUAAAGCAGACAAUGCCAGUGAUCAAACACAACAUAAGUUCACGUAUAUAAGCAAUUCACUAAGAUCUACACCAAAGAGGUGCAGUGGCAAAGAAGCAACCAACUCAGAGAACCUUUGGAAGAAGGCUUAGCCCAAAGAAGGCACAAACUUUGCCCUCCCCUGAGGCCAUCCUUUCAGAUCCCUCGGUUCCCACCACCUUCUCUCUCCCUCUCUCCUGCGGACGUGCCGGUGCUGCAGCGCAGAGAGAGACCCUGCAUCAAUGCCAUGCGGAUUCGUGCAAAGCAAACUAACGUUCCCCAUGCCAAAAGCGGAUUACUCUACUGCCUCUAUAUAUAGAUCUCUUGCUUUCUUCUCAGCUCGCCACUCUUUCUUCCACCGAUUCUUCCAGAAUUAAUAUUAGAGCCAUGGCUGUCUUCCGUCGAGCCUAUUUGUUUCGAGAUAUCUUCCGUUGAUGAGUGACUUGCUCGUCUUUCAUGGUCACUUGACGACGUUGGUGCCCUGAAGUCGCGCCAAUGGCAACCUCGCGUUGACGUGGGGGGAAUUAAGCUCGUUUCUAUGGGUGCUCUUCUUGCUUUAUUUUCCGCUUUCUGCUCUCUAACGUAUGGGAAUUGAUUUGUGUGAGGUUGGAAGGGGAUCCAAGUGUAUGGUGAUAUAAUAGCAGCCUUAAAUAUCAGCUUUUUGCUAUUCUAAUAUUGGGUUCGGGUUGUAUCUUCCGUGGGAAAGAAUGAUUCAUCUUUUUUUUCCACGAGGUCAACCAUUGGAUUGUGCAACGGCCACUUUAAGAUCUGUGCAGGUGGAUGAAAAAAAAAAGAGUUUGGUGUGCUUUGGAUCAUUCUUUCACGUGAAAGAUACAACCUAGAUCCUUUGAUAUAUGCACAUUUCCGAAGUGGUCAAAGUGUUUACCAUAAAGAAGAUUGGAGUCUUGAGUGCUCAAAAGAUGUUCGUAGCUAUAAGUGAGGUUGCAUAUUGCACCUAUAAGACUUAUUGAAUGUAUAGUGAUUGUAUGGAGUUCCUCCUCCACCAAGAUGGUCAUGACCUCGCAUUAAGAAUUGGCUGUGUUGUUAUAUUGAAUAAUCAAUAUUAACAAUCCACUUUAAAAAUCAUUGUCAAGGAUAGAGAUGCGAACUUGGUUGAAAUAGCUUAUAAGUGGUCCCUUAACUUGAAAUAAUAGAAUACCUUACUACAAUUUUGUGACAAAAUCCAUGUAUUAAUAAUGAUACCCUUGAUAAGAGGCAUAGUGGUUUAUUGGAUUCAGAUACAAAUAAGGGUCUAGUUGUCCAACAUGAAAUCAACCAUAUGUUACAAUGUUAAUAUUAAAACAUAGAGAUGGUCAGACAUAUGAGACCCACAACCCAGCUAAUUACUUAAAGUUUUAAAAAUAAUUAUUUUGGAAAAAAAUAUUAUUAAGAACAAUGGUAAAUUAUUUUCAAAAGGUUUCAUGUGCAUUGAAAUCCAAUCCAAUCCACCACCAUAAGCUCUCUCACGCGCGCAUAUAUAUAUAUAUAUAUAUAUAUAUAUUCGUUAUAUAUAUAUAUAUAUAUAUAUAUAUAUUCGAAUUUGCCCCUCUUGGUUUCAAGUUAGCAUGUUUUAUAGAAUGGCAAUUUUAGAUGAAGUUUGGUCUAGGACCUCUAGGUAUAGAUGUGUAGGAAUAGAUUUGCACAAUUUGAUGAGUCGGUGAAUAUUUUGGUGUAAUUUGACAUAUUCAAUAUUCUAUUUUGCAUGGUUGCAAUUUUCUGUUUUCAAUUUUCCUUAAAAACUAAAGAAAUUGCCACGGGAAUGGUGUUUGAUAAUCUAUUUUCUUUUUUAGUUUUUUUGAAAACUUUUUCUUAGUUUCUAAAAAUUUAUGCAAGUUUAAAAUUUUGUUUCCAAAAUUUCUAAAAAUCAAACCACUCAUGAUCCUCCACCAUCAUCUUUGUUGCUAUUGCCUCUGUCACCACCUAUCAACCACUAUCCUCUCGCCAACCACAAUCAUCUCCACUAUCACUGCAAUCAGCAUUGCUAACAUUGCUGCCAAAUGCAUUCCAUGCAACCAUUAGAUGUUAGGUUUUUGAUUGAAGGAGGCUUGUUUGAGGAAUCUCUUUUAGAGAUGUAACGUGAAAGAUAAAUGGAGAAUCGACCUUGCGACCUAGAGAGGGGAAUUUCAAAAAAUUCGAUGAAAAGAGAGAAAAAGAAGGGAAUAUAUAUUUGUGGUGUGGUUAACUAAGCUGAUUGAUAUUGAUGGUAUUCGAAUUUGAUAAGACAAGGAUUAGAAUUCUUUCAUAUGAAGUAUGCGAAUGAAGAACUGGUGGUCUAGAUCAUUGAGGAAUGAGAAUAAGAAAGCGAGCAAUGAAGAUAGGAGGUGGGUCCUAAAAUUUAAAGGGGCAAGGAGGCUGCACUGGAACUAUUUGGAAAUCCCAAGAACAUUUAAUUUCUCAGGAUGGCCAUGGCCCUUGCCCCCUCCCCUGCCGGUUCCAGCAUUCACAAACUGAUGCAUUCUUUUAGUCUUCUAAAUCUACUUCAUAUAGUUUCUAGGAGCUUGGGUUGUCUCUAUGGUUCAUAAACCUUACAAGAAUGUUUACCUUCUGAUGUCAGCAUAUGAUAUAUAACGAUGACAAGUGCCUCUACCUGUGGGUCGAUGAAGAAUGGUAUGAUCAAUUCAGGUUUCCAAGCACAGAAGAACGGUACAAAGAUAGCAGCAGCAAGACAUUCAAACAUUGUUGAUCUCAGAAAACCAUGUUGCCCAUGCUGUAACGCAGCACUGGUUUGUAAGCUAGGAAAUGAUCAAGGAAUAGGAUGGACUCCAAUGGACACAGGCCUAUGUGAACUUGGAGAGGAGCACUGUACUAGUAAAGUGAAUGCAACUCAGCUAUGGUGCUCAUAUUCUGCCCCUAUGUAAAUUUCAAACUUCUCUCUUUUUCUUCUUGGGAAAUAUCGAACCUAUUCAACCAUCUGAUGGUGAUUACAAACAUUUUAAACUAACUUUUUCCAGAGCAAUUCCAAACGGUGGAGAAAUUGUUUGCAUAUGAUGAGGUAUGGGAUCACAAAGUAAUAUAAUUAUUGUCGAGUAUAUCUUUGAGUUUACGGGCUCUAGAAAGGCAAAAAAAAUCUUUUCCCCCAUGAGAGAAGCAAGUGGUGCAGAGUGCAAAGAGCGAAGCAAGCAUUAGCAUCCUUGUUUUAUUUGGGCCGCACAGGAUGAGAUAAAUUUAUUUAUAUAUUGUUCUAGAAACCGACAUUAGCAUCAGUGGGUGCUUCCAAUACCACCCAAAGCUACUGCAUCAAGGUUCAAAUUCAUGCAAUAACACUAGCCGCCUGACGCAGACAGAAGUUAGAGGAUUAGAUGCGCUUCUUAUCUUUUUUCUUUUUUUUUGGUACAGAUGCACUUCUUAUCUUCAAGGAAUAAAUAUCAUAAGGCUUGGUCUAUAAAAAGGAGGAGCCAAGGAGCUCAGAAACCAGACCAGCCUCAGCUCUUCUAAAACUCCAGGUAGACAGUGUCCAACAUGAGCUGCACCUACGAGUCGAAAAUGGAGAAGACAAGCAUGACUGAAGGGCCUCACUCCCCUCAGCUUCACACUGUGAUCAAGCACAAGGAGGUCCAUGAGGAAGAGGAGAAGCCACGCCACGGAAUCUUCGGCCGGCCAAGGAACAAGGAGUGGUCUGAAGAGGAGACCUAUGAAAUCUCUGAGACAACCUACGCAGGCGACAUGGGCAUGCAAGGAGGAGAGUGCAUCAGGCGCAAGGAGUAUAUAUGAGACCAUACAUCAAGGCAGCUUGAGAGCAUCAUCUAUCUAUAGUUCUGUGAUGAUGGAUGCCAUGGCUUGGCAUCUUUAUAUAUAGAAUAAAUCUCUGGCUUAUCUACUGUAUAUCCAUAUGAAUAAUACUAUACUUCUCUAGUACUCAAGGUAUAGCUCUAUACUUUAGCCUACUACAUUCACUCUUGAUAUCUUUAGUACGCGCGUGUUUUCAGGUAGAUUUUUUGAGAAUACUACACCAACUCUUUCCCCCUUCAUUUUGAUAAUAUAAUCGGGAAAGAAGUAGGCUAGUCUCCGCUUUGAAUCCUAAAUAUAUUGGUGCAAGAUCGACCGAUGGCAUUCUAAAAUGUUGAUCCAAGCCACUGAUAAUGAUAUAUAUAACAUGCAAGACAUCCGCAAGAAUCAAGUAUUUUGUAAGUUUUCUAUCUAUUAUGCAUCAAGAGGAUGCAACUGGACGGCAUGAGUAGUGCUAAUGUGUUAAAAUGCAUGAUAGGGUGUGAGAAAAAUUUUGAAUCCAGUCCGUCGAUUAUGAUCGCUCCAUAGAAAGCAUAUGUGAAAUAAAGUUCAAUAUGUUUGCUUCUAAGUCACAUGAAAACAUGAACUCGAUCCAACAACAUGUGUGAUGAAACCUUUUUGUUUUUGAAGAUUGUUUGUAAAAGUUUUUGAGCUUUUGGAAGCAAAGUUUAUAGCUUUCAUAGAAGGAGUGAAAAUAAAGCAAGGAAUAGAAAAAGUUUUGUACAGAUGCCACCUUGGACAUCAAUCUGCAUGUGGUAUUUCAC
rnacentral:lncRNA from 1 species